rnacentral:rRNA from 1 species
AUACGUAGGUGGCAAGCGUUGUCCGGAAUUAUUGGGCGUAAAGCGCAUGUAGGCGGUUUGGUAAGUCGGUCGUGAAAAUGCGGUGCUUAACGCCGUAAGGCGAUCGAAACUGCUGAACUUGAGGGCAGGAGAGGAAAGGGGAACUCCCAGUGUAGCGGUGAAAUGCGUAGAUCUUGGGAAGAACACCGGUGGCGAAGGCGCCUUUUUGGACUGUGUCUGACGCUCAGAUGCGAAAGCCAGGGUAGCGAACGGGAUUAGAUACCCCGGUAGUCCUGGCCGUAAACGAUGGGUACUAGGUGUGGGAGGUAUCGACUCCUUCCGUGCCGGAGUUAACGCAAUAAGUACCCCGCCUGGGGAGUACGGCCGCAAGGCUUAAACUCAAAUGAAUUGGCGGGG